rnacentral:rRNA from 1 species
UACGUAGGGUGCAAGCGUUAAUCGGAAUUGCUGGGCGUAAAGCGUGCGCAGGCGGCUAUGCAAGUCAGAUGUGAAAUCCCCGGGCUCAACCUGGGAACUGCAUUUGUGACUGCAUGGCUAGAGUACGGCAGAGGGGGAUGGAAUUCCGCGUGUAGCAGUGAAAUGCGUAGAUAUGCGGAGGAACACCGAUGGCGAAGGCAAUCCCCUGGGCCUGUACUGACGCUCAUGCACGAAAGCGUGGGGAGCAAACAGG